CGGGUGUAGUUUAGUGGUAGAACGCCAGCCUUCCAAGCUGGCCGUGUGGGUUCGAUUCCCAUCACCC
rnacentral:tRNA from 1 species